UCAACCACAUACCCCUUCUCCUAUAUGACUUAAUAAUGACUUUUUAAGAAUUUCUCCUCACACACAAGGGUUUUGUUUCCCAUCACCUUUUGCCUCUAUGAUUCUAGUUCAGCCCUCUGAGGCCAAACAGAAGAGUUCUAAUUCCUCUUCCACAUAAGAGUCCAGAAAAUUGCUAUCAGGACUCUCCCCAAAACUUUGCAUUCCUUUGAUUAAUAUGCAGAACUCCCUCAAUUGAUCUUCAGUGACUCCAGACUCACCAAUCUGAACACUCUCCAGUUCACUAAUGCCCCUUGUAAAUUAUGUCAUGUAGAACCAAAUACAAUAAUUCAAGUGUCAUCUGAUAGUACAGAAGGAUGGCUAUCUCUUUAAUCUAAGAAGUGGACAUGCUUCUCUUAAGACUGCAUUAGUGGAUGGGGUAGCUCUGAAGUUCAGUGGACUGAGAACCAGGCCUAGAUAUAGGAGAUUCUGGGUUCAAAUCUGGCCUCAGACACUUCCUAGCUAUAUUAUCCUGGCAACUCACUUAAAUCUCAUUGCAUAGUAUUAAUUCUAAGGCUGAUAGGUAAGGGUUAAAAAAAAUAGUUUGCAUUAUGUUUUUUUCAACUGCCCUGGGGGAGGGGAAAGGACUGAACUACGACUCCCCUGUUACCUUACCAACUGAUAUUAAGUUUGUGGUUCUCUCAGACAUCCCCAAGAUCUCUUUAUGUAAUCUAACAUGGCAUUAAAAGUCAAUCUCCAUUUUAUCCUUUUUUAAAUCAAUGAUCCCUCAUUACUUCAACUGUUUUUCUAUGGCAUGGGUACCAGUCACUGCCCCAUCAAAGCCAUUGCUUUUUUGGGGCUUUGAACUUUUUUGUACUUAAGGAUAGGAUCUGAUAUCAUUCCACAAUAACAUUUGUCUUAUUACAUUCCAUCUACUUUGCCAGCUUCCUGAGCUACUUCUGCAUCCUAUCUGAUUCUAAUAUCCCUAUCCUCCAUUUUUUUAACUGAGUAGAACCAAGAGCAUAAUUUAUACAAUAAUGACAAUAUUCUGAAGGCAAACAACUCUGAAAGACUUGGGACCUCGGAUCAAUGCAGUGGACAACCAGGAUUGCAGAAGACCCAUGAUGAAAUAAAUUACUUCCUACACUAAAAACUACACAUUUCCUAUGAAAUCAGCUGUCUCACUUCAGAAAUGGGAAGGACUCAGGGUGUAUGUUGCAACAGAUAAUUUUUGAGCAUGGGAAUUAGAUUUCUUUAUUUGUCCAUGUCACAUUUCAGGUAUAUUCUAAUCUUGAAAGUAUUAUUAAUGUAUUAAUAUCAUAACCUAUGUGCUCAUGUACCAGAUUCAUUGGCAUGUUAGUUCUUGAUAAUUAUAUUUAAUUGGUCCUUUAUUAAUUGUGACCACUCUCCAAAUCUAUAGUCCAAAGGUCAGAAGAAUUCCUGGGUAGGCUGCCACAAGGUCCUAGUUCCCAACUUGUCAGACAAGAUUGCAUACCAGGCCACAUGCUUAAUUAAACUCCUCCUCUUCGAUCUUGUGGUUGUCAAUUGAGUCAAUGUGAAGUCUUAUGCCAUGUCACAUGAUCAUUAGCUAUCUCCCAUUCCUCAUUCCUUGAUCCUCCAAUAAAAGAUUGCGGACAUAUGUAGCUCACUCUCUCUCUCUACCACCAUCAGGGGAUCACACCAGAGGAGGCUGGAUACCAUGCUCUUUAAGCCUUGUCUCUGAGUUUUUCUUCCUUUAUUAUAUUCCCUCUUUCUCUAUAUCCCUUUCACCCAUUUUCUCCUUCUCAGGUGUCCACCCAAGAACAUAUUAUUUUGUGGCUACAGGCAGGCACAGUCCAUACUUCUCCCCAAAAUUUUAUUUUUCAUUAGUCAGAUGGGGGACAAGGGGGACAGAAAAUAGAUUUUGGUUAAUUGGAAAAAAUUAAACUAAGAAAAAGUUACUUUAGAACACAGUUUGACAAAUACAUAGCCUGCAACAUUCCCAGGUGAUGCCUAAACCAGGUGAAAAGGUAAUUGGGAAAUAGUUAACAUAAGAAAAUAUAAUAACACAAAUAAUUUAAAUGCUAAAUUAAAAUGUGGAAUUUAGGGAUCUUUAUGUACAGAUUUAGGCCAACAAAAAAUCAUCCCUCCUCUAAAGUGUCUGACUUUCCCAAGGUCACUUAUGCAUUUCACAAUUCUAACUCUUCCCCCCUGCUCUCCAUUCAAAACAUCCCCAGAAUCAGGGACAGGAAGUUGGGAUGUCCCUGAGGUUUGUAACAAUAAAGCUCCAUUAAAUAAAAAUAAAAUAAGGACAGAGAUGAUCUCUCUAUGGUCCUGCUACACACGAGUGUGAUUAGGGAAGUGGAAAGUCUGUCAUCUCUACCUAGGAGAGACAGACUAGUCAAUUAAUUAGGAAGCAGGGAUUAUACUGUAGACCCAACAACUGGAUGCUAAAGCCAAUAGAUCAGAACCAGGUUAAAUAAGACAUGCUUCCAUGCGGCAUUUUAUGCCACAAAGAGGAAAAAUAUAGGUGCAAUGGUGAAUCGCUGUGUAUAAAAGGAGACAAAGUUUAAAUUUUCCUUUCCAACUCCAGAAUUUAUCUGCUAAAGGAGAUCAAGUCCAGCCCCAUUGCAUAACCAUAGCUUAUACUCCAACCAGGACUAGAAAUACUCUUUGGGUCCACAACACAAAGGGAAAUGGACUGGAGGAAAAAGUAUGGGUCAGUCAUUGAAGCUGCAGUGCUAGAAUUUUGGGAGACAAAGAAAAUUGUAUGUCACCAGGAUGAAGACAACUCAUGUGCUUUUUGUACCUACCAUGUGAAAAGGACCUUCUCCUCAUAGCAUCAUAUUAUAUACAGAGCAAAAAUCAUCCAUUUUUCCAGAUGAAGAAACUGAGGCUGAGAAAGGAGUAGACACACUAACUACACAGAUAGUAGACAGGAAAGCAAGGAUUCUACCCAAGUUUUAAGAUUUUGAGCUCAGGGCUCCUUCUACUACAACACAUUAUGCCAUGGGACCAGGAGGGCAUAAUGUCACUAAUCUCUGUUUCACUCAUGACAGGGAAGGAGAAAGCCCAACACAAAGUUGGGAGCCCAAUCCAGCUACUCACCAUAGAUUAUAACAUUCUUGGUUGCGGUGCGCGUCAAACCAGUGAAUGAGUUGGCCGCACUACAGGUAUAAGUUCCAGCAAGACUCAGGGAUGCAAUAAAAGAAAAUGUGGCUGAGUUGCUGACAGGUUGUCCAUUCUGUAACCAAGUGAAUUGGACUGGUGGGUUUGAUGUAGCAGAACAGCUCAAGGUAAUAUUUGCCCCAAUAGGGUACUCGUCAACUGUACGGACAAUCGUGGCGGUAUCUGGGCCAUCUGGAGGAAAGAGAAGGAUUCCAUACUGAGAUUGUGGAAGAAAGAAGGGGCAUCUCCUAUUUGGGAACCCAUCAACAGAAAGAUCUUCAGAGAAGAAGCUUGCUAACUCCUAAAUCCAGAGAAUGAACUGUUUGCAGAAAAAUACCUAAACCCUUACACUACAGGAAGAUCCAGAAUGAACAUUUGGGUGUGGUUGAUUGAACUGAAGGUUGAUUGAACAAUUAUUUUGAAUGUACACUCUUCCAAAGGGAACUGCCCUCUAAUUGGCUUUUGUCAAUGCGCCCAGCAAAAACAUUCGUUUUGCUGUCUCUCUCUCUCCUCUAUUUCCCCCUUAUCUAUAAUUAUUGUAGUUUUCCUCUUGGAGGGUAAAAUUUUGUAUACACCUGCAGUUAGAAAUUUUGGGGGUGCAGGAUACUUAUAUUUAUUGAUCAAUUUGGGAGACUAGUCCCCCAAUCAUCAUCAGGGGGAUUGUGAUUUUUAAAUUCUCUCCAUCUUGCUUGGUCUAGUACCCAGGAAUGUGCACGCGCACACUACAGGGGCAUGUGCUAGCUAAUGACAAAUCGAAAACACUAACUGCCCCCCUGGGCUGUCCUAAGCCAAGCUUGAGCCACCAUUGGCAUUUGUGAGGCACGGGAAGUGAGGUAGGGAACAGCCUCUGGAGUUCUCAUCACUUCCUGUGGAGCGGGCUAGAUGACAGUUUGAUCCUGGAGCUCAAGCUUGGAGGAGCCCUGCAGACAGCUUUCCUUCAGAUCGGUCACAUGAGUAAUAAGGACUGACUCCCUUCUCUGCCUUGGCUCUCCAAGGCCUUAAACUCCCACCUUGGCUCAGCCUGAGCCAGAGAGAUUUUGAGUUAAACUCCUUUCCUUCUCUCCCUCUCUCUCUCUCUCCCUCUAAUAAUUUCUUCCCCCUGUUGUAAUUAAAUCAUCAUAAAAACUC